AACGCGAAGAACCUUACCUAGCCUUGACAUGCACUGGACCGACUCUGAAAGGGGUCUUUCCCGCAAGGGACCGGUGCACAGGUGCUGCAUGGCUGUCGUCAGCUCGUGUCGUGAGAUGUUGCGUUAAGUCGCGCAACGAGCGCAACCCCUGUCCUUAGUUGCCAUCAUUCAGUUGGGCACUCUAGGGAGACAAACCCUCUUUGAGGGUGGGAAGGUGGGGAUGACGUCAAGUCAGGAUGGCCCUUACGGCUAGGGCUGCACACGUGCUACAAUGCCCGGUACAGAGGGAAGCAAUACCGCGAGGUGGAGCGAAUCCUCAAAACCGGGCCCAGUUCAGAUUGUAGUCUGCAACUCGACUACAUGAAGUUGGAAUCGCUAGUAAUGGCGCAUCAGCUACGGCGCCGUGAAUACGUUCCCGGGCCUUGUA
rnacentral:rRNA from 1 species